UUUCCGUAGGUGAACCUGCGGAAGGAUCAUUAAAAAUGAAGCCGGGAAACCGGUCCUUCAAACCCUUGAUUAUUAUUCACUUGUUGCUUUGGUGGGCCGCGAGAGCUUAUGCUUGAGCACCGGCUUUCGGGCUGGAGAGUGCCUGCCAGAGGACCCAACUCUGUAUUUUAGUGUCGUCUGAGUACUAUAAAAUAGUUAAAACUUUCAACAACGGAUCUCUUGGUUCUGGCAUCGAUGAAGAACGCAGC
rnacentral:misc_RNA from 1 species